rnacentral:lncRNA from 1 species
AGGCCUUGUUCUAGGCCUGACAUCACGUUCAUGAGGUCUGCGGAGUUUUUAUCCUGUUGGAAGGAGACAGAUAAAAAUGUUGAAACCAGGCUGGGGAUUUAGCUCAGUGGUUCCGCCACCUGCCUUGCAAGCACAAGGUCCCGAGUUCAAUCCUAGGUACCAAAAAAAAAAGAACCACAAAGGGCUGUAUUAGGUCAGGUGGUACAAGGGCCAUAAGGUAAUUACGGCGGGUGAGCUGUCAGGGACAGGUGUGUGAGCCAUUUAAAUGGUCACAGAAAGCUUUUCUGAGGCAGACCUUGAAUGGAGACCUAAGGAGAGAUCUGUGGAGCCAUCUGUUUCCAAGCAGAAGAUACAGCAUGUACAAAGGCCCCGAGGCACGGGGCUGGAGGGGAGCUGAGAGGGGAAGAAGACGCUGCCGGGGCCCGGUAGUUGCAGCUGUGACACCCCCAGGCUGCACAGGAGAGCCAGCCCACCCGUCCCCUCUGUCCCUGCUCCCUGCUCCUUGCUGAGGAACACCUGCAUCAACGUUGCCGUGAGCCCAGUGCCUGUUUCACAGCUCCCUCCUAGAGCUGUGGGCUGUCCAGAUCCCGGAGCAGGGCUGACGUGAAGAGAUGUCACACCAGGGUCAUGGAGCUGAGGGCAGGCUGAAGAGCGUACACAGGACCCUCGGCAGAGAAUGGCCUGCUGACUUGGAGAAUGUAGUCAUCCCCCGCGCACUGAGGCCGGAGGCCAGGGAGGCUGAGGUCCCGCCACCCCUUCUUCCUGCCAGGCUCCCCGAACCAGGUGGUGGGAGAGGCUGCUCCCCUUUGCUGGAGGUCCCUGCCCGACGUCCACACAUAAGACAACCUGUCCAGCGAGGCUUUUGUGAGCCACUAGAGCCACCCUACAGCUCACCUGGGCAGCAUGUAGGACAGUUCUGUCCCCUCGGUGCCCCGUGUUCUGGAUUCCCGUCCCCAGCUUACUGUCCUGACCCUGACAGUCCCAGCUCCUGCCUUCUCCAGCGCUUCCUGCCAGCUCUCUGUGUGGCUCACAAGAUUCCUGUCCCUCUGGUCGCUCCACUGACGCGGGGAAGGCUGGGCCUCGUUUGUCCUCCGUCCUGGGCUCCUGACACCCUGCUACUCCCUAGCUGCAUCCACCGUCAGCACCUACUCCAUCACCCACCCA